rnacentral:rRNA from 1 species
UACGGAGGGGGCUAGCGUUGUUUCGGAAUUACUGGGCGUAAAGCGCACGUAGGCGGCUUGUAAGUUAGAGGUGAAAGCCCGGGGCUCAACUCCGGAAUUGCCUUUAAGACUGCAUCGCUAGAAUUGUGGAGAGGUAAGUGGAAUUCCGAGUGUAGAGGUGAAAUUCGUAGAUAUUCGGAAGAACACCAGUGGCGAAGGCGACUACUGGACACAUAUUGACGCUGAGGUGGCGAAA